CAGAGGUUACUGCUAUCGAGAUUCGAACUAAGCCAUGCGAGUUGAAUGUUCUUCGUGAACAUGGCGGACUGCUCAGUAACACGUGGACAACCUACCCUUGGGUCCGGCAUAAUCCUGGGAAACUGGGAAUAAUUCCGGAUAGGUCACCGAUGCUGGAAUGCGCGGUGGCCGAAAGCUCCGGCGCCCGAGGAUGGGUCUGCGGCCUAUCAGGGUUGUAGUGGGUGUAACGUACCUACUAGCCUACGACGGGUACGGGUUGUGAGAGCAAGAGCCCGGAGAUGGAUUCUGAGACACGAAUCCAGGCCCUACGGGGUGCAGCAGGCGCGAAAACUUUACAAUGCGGGAAACCGUGAUAAGGGGAUCUCGAGUGCCAGCAUAUAAUGUUGGCUGUCCAGAUGCCUAAAAAGCAUCUGUUAGCAAGGGCCGGGCAAGACCGGUGCCAGCCGCCGCGGUAACACCGGCGGCCCGAGUGGUAACCGCUAUUAUUGGGUCUAAAGGGUCUGUAGCCGGCCAGGUAAGUCCCUUGGGAAAUCUGGCAGCUCAACUGUCAGGCUGCUAGGGGAUACUGUUUGGCUUGGGACCGGGAGAGGUGAGAGGUACCUUGGGGGUAGGGGUGAAAUCUUGUGAUCCUCGAGGGACCACCAGUGGCGAAGGCGUCUCACCAGAACGGGUCCGACGGUAAGGGACGAAAGCUAGGGGCACGAACCGGAUUAGAUACCCGGGUAGUCCUAGCCGUAAACGAUGCUCGCUAGGUGUCAGUCACGGUGCGACCGUGAUUGGUGCCGUAGGGAAGCCGUGAAGCGAGCCACCUGGGAAGUAUGGCCGCAAGGCUGAAMYUAAAGGAAUUGGCGGGGGAGCACUACAMCSGGUGGAGCCUGCGGUUUAUG
rnacentral:rRNA from 1 species